GACGAACGCUGGCGGCGUGCUUAACACAUGCAAGUCGAACGGUGACCCUCGGAGCUUGCUUCGGGGUGAGCAGUGGCGAACGGGUGAGUAACACGUGAGUAACCUGCCCCUGACUCUGGAAUAAGCGCUGGAAACGGCGUCUAAUACCGGAUACGACACGCCUCCGCAUGGGGGGCGCGUGGAAAGUUUUUCGGUCUGGGAUGGACUCGCGGCCUAUCAGCUUGUUGGUGAGGUAAUGGCGCACCAAGGCGAUGACGGGUAGCCGGCAUGGGAGGGCGACCGGCCGCACUGGGACUGGGACACGGCCCAGACGCCUACGGGAGGCAGCGGUGGGGAAUAUUGCACAAUGGGCGAAAGCCUGAUGCAGGGACUCCGCGUGAGGGAUGACGGCCUUCGGGUUGUAAACCUCUUUCAGCAGGGAAGAAGCGAAAGUGACGGUACCUGCAGAAGAAGCACCGGCUAACUACGUGCCAGCCGCCGCCGUAAAAC
rnacentral:rRNA from 1 species